rnacentral:lncRNA from 1 species
GGCAGAUAACAGGGCCAUGAUUACAAAAUCAAUAAAUGGUCUCGAUGCUCUCAAUGCAGAAGAAAUGAAUAGAGACGGAGCCUGGCCAUCUGGAGGGACAGAGCUUUCUGCCUCGCCCCGUGGGGCCCCUGGGCUGUGCCCGCCCUGGCCCGGGUUUGAAGCCAGUAAUCACAUCAGAUGGCACCGCCAGUUCUCAGAGGCCUGGCAGCCGACUCUGUGCUCUGUGCCAGGUGGGGAGCACCCCUGGGCCCAGAGGAUCUGUCACUUUGCCCCUGGGCUGGCCUGGGCAGUGGGACUGCGGCCUUCUGCCCCGGGCACCCUCCACUGUCUGAGAGGGAGGGUCUAGGCUGGGAGACGAGGCUCCUCGGGGGCUGCCCCCCCACCGGCUCUGCACCCCCAUGGUCCGCGGCCAUCAGCCCACGGGGAUGGAGGACGGGGCCCCGGGACACGUGUUCCCGUGAGCCCCCGGGGAGGCCAGUGUGUCCAGUGCCCACCCUGGCUCCCUCUGGCUCUACCAAGUGCAGCUGAGAGGGACGGCCUUGACCCCAGCUCAGCCCUCCGUCUGCCCUCAGGCGCCCUGACCAAACAGGAUAGCUCCAAACUGGCAGAGGAAAGUAAAAGGGAAGCCAGCCCCUCCCUUGGCAGAAGGGCCGGCCCUGGAGCCUCUUUGUACUCCGGCUUUCCUCCGUGUUGUGGAUGUGCACGCACACGCUCACCAAGCCCAGCACCAGGCUCCCAGCGGACAGGGCCCUCCCGCAGCCCGGCCGAAGGACGCUCAGGCGCCCGGCUCCCCCAUGGAACCCUCUGGCGUGACCCCCUGUGCUCGCAGCCCCCCACCCCACCCCUGGGCACUCAGGUGGGUGGCAACCUUCUGACUUUCCGGCUCCCUUUGCAGCGAUUGCUCCUGGAGAACAUGUUCAGGGCAGGCAUGACCGCCCGCGAGGAGGAGGGAAACAGAGGGACCGCUCUUGCACGACGUGGACGCGUGACCAGGAAGCACAAGAAGGCCUGUCCAGGAGGCUCUACCCCAUGUCCAUCACUUGGGCAAAACACAAAAGUUCUGUGCGUGGGGUCCCGGGGAGGACUCGGAAUGCAGGUGCUCCCAGCUAUACGGUGGCGUGUUCGGGGUGUGCGCCAAGCGGCUGCGUGGAGGGCACAUGGAGGGCACCAGGGCUCCUAAUAAAGCCCAGGGCAGGCCCCUCGUGCCUGAGAUUCACUCCGAUCCUGUGGGCUCCCCAGCGUGCAUGGGCACUAGGAGGGCCGGGCCCCGGGGGACCCUGGGUUUCCACAGAUAUGCAUGUGUGUGUGUGUGUGCACACACGUGUGUGCAUGUGCCCAAAGAGCAACCUGUAGCUUCUGUAAUUAAAAUGAAAAACAAUGAUACAGAUACAGUAGAAAUAAAACCCUCCUAAAAAAAAAAAAAAAAAAAAAAAAACCCUCCUGCUCCGUUGGUGGGAAUGUGGCUGCAGUGGCUGCUCUGGACCUUGGCAGGGGGGAGGUCAGAAAAUCAAACACAGAGCUACCCUGUGACCCAGUAAUCCCACCAAGAGCAGGGCCUGGAGUGGAAGCUCCACACCCACGUUCACAGCAGCCGAUACAUGGGAGCCACUCAAGGGUCCAUCAACAGACAAGGGGAUAAACGUGGGCCAUCCACACGCUGGACAGUCACUCAGCCUGAACAAGGAGGGACAUGCUGACACCUGCCACAGCGUAGGUGGACCUGGGGGACGUGAUGCUGAGUGACACGGGCCAGACACCAGGGGACACAUCCUGCAGGAUUCCUACCCACACAAGGGCCCUAGAGUCUCCAGAUUCACAGGGAGAGAGAGUGGACGGUGGUCACAGGGGGAGGGAUGGGAUCAGUGUCUCAGGGAGACAGAGCCUCUGUUGGGACGAUGGACAGUCCUGGAGACAGACCGUGGGGACGGCUGCACAACAGUGUGAAUGUGCUUAGUGCCCCUGAACCGUGGCUUAGAGGUGGUUAAAUGGUAAUUUUUAUGUUACGUGUAUUUUACCAUGAUUUAAACAAAUAAAUAAUUAUUUUUUCAAAAGCAAUAAUACAAAGAACGGUUGGACUGGAGAACAGCUGUGGGUAGACUGGGGUCACUGCACACAUCCUGAGGGGCCUCUGGAGCACCCCUCCCUAGUGAAUGGGGGUUUGGGGCGUUGAGGAGAGUGGUCAGAGCAGGUGUGAGGCCUGCAGGCAGCCACUGGGGUUUGCGCUGGAGGGGUCAGGAUGGUGGGCCCAGGAGUCACCAGGCUGUUGUGGGGACCCCAGCACUCCACGUUGUCACUUGCUGCCCGUUGCCCCCCAAUCUCUCUUUUCAUCUAUGUGACAGACACCUGGGCGUACUGUGCAGGGGCUGGGGGGACACAGAGACCAGCAUGCAGACCCUCUCCAACUGAGACCCUGAUGGCAGGGACCCUGUCGUUUUCAGAGAGCCCCCAGGAAGUGCUUGUUGGGUGACCAGUGACCACACAGGUGAAUGCCUGUAGCCCCUCCCCCACCCUGUGCGCCCCUUCUGGGAGCCAGAGCCUCAGCUUUGGUGGCACCAUAAGACCUCCCCUGGGGUGGAAGCCGAACCCCUGUGGCAUCCACUGGAGAACCUGAGCAUGCUCCCUGUCUGGCCC